UUUACUCCACUCCUCGCAUGUCAGCCAAUCGGUGAAGCUCUAGGCAGCUCUUGUCCCUCCUUAGUGCCAGCUCCCAAGUUUGCAGUCUCUUGCUUCUACAGCCGAACAGAGCAGGCGGACUAAAACUUUGUUAUCGAGGGCAGAGCGAAACCGGAAGGUUUACUGAGCUGUGGCUUCACGUAAACGCUGAGCAUACACUCGACGGCGGUCAGGUUUUUUAUAUGGGACGAAUCCAAAGACCAGGUCAGCGAUUCCAGAACCCAGAGUGUUCCAGUGUUCACUGGAUGGCGAACCAACCCAAGAUCCUAGGAGACGAUAUACAUACACACGCACACUCAUUUGCACAUUGAUGGACUACAAUCAUCUACUGUACAAGUAGUACGGUAGGAUAGACAAUCACACACACUCCUCAUCGGACGAACUCUAUUGCAAUACACCCGUUUGUCAUGGGCCCCACCGGUACCAUUUGGACUUAAAAAAGACUAAUACUUUUACUUGUGCACAAUUUUAUUUUAUUCUAUUGUUUUGCUACUUUGGGGGAAAUUUUAUACUUGAAGUUCUGUUAAAACUGUUGUAAUAUUGUGUUGUUUACAAAUUUCUUUUAUAAGGCUUAAAAUCACUAAAGCACUUUUAAGCCACACCACUGUGUUUAUCUGGUUUUUCUGCCAUUCAUGUACCAGAGCUCUAAGAGUCGUUCUUUAUCUUCUGAUACUAGCCCAAAUUACUUAUUACC